rnacentral:rRNA from 1 species
UACGAAGGGGGCUAGCGUUGCUCGGAUUGACUGGGCGUAAAGAGCUCGUAGGCGGUUUGUCGCGUCUGCCGUGAAAGUCCGGGGCUCAACUCCGGAUCUGCGGUGGGUACGGGCAGACUAGAGUGAUGUAGGGGAGACUGGAAUUCCUGGUGUAGCGGUGAAAUGCGCAGAUAUCAGGAGGAACACCGAUGGCGAAGGCAGGUCUCUGGGCAUUAACUGACGCUGAGGAGCGAAAGCAUGGGGAGCGAACAGG